ncrna:unclassified sequences skipping-rope RNA
UCUUAUUGAAGUAGAAAAGGCUCUCUACACACUCUUUUAUAGAGCACCUGAGAUGAUGGGUACGCCGUCUAUCCUUUAAGA